rnacentral:rRNA from 1 species
UUAAGCGACUAAGCGUACACGGUGGAUGCCCUGGCAGUCAGAGGCGAUGAAGGACGUGCUAAUCUGCGAUAAGCGUCGGUAAGGUGAUAUGAACCGUUAUAACCGGCGAUUUCCGAAUGGGGAAACCCAGUGUGUUUCGACACACUAUCAUUAACUGAAUCCAUAGGUUAAUGAGGCGAACCGGGGGAACUGAAACAUCUAAGUACCCCGAGGAAAAGAAAUCAACCGAGAUUCCCCCAGUAGCGGCGAGCGAACGGGGAGCAGCCCAGAGCCUGAAUCAGUGUGUGUGUUAGUGGAAGCGUCUGGAAAGGCGCGCGAUACAGGGUGACAGCCCCGUACACAAAAAUGCACAUGCUGUGAGCUCGAUGAGUAGGGCGGGACACGUGGUAUCCUGUCUGAAUAUGGGGGGACCAUCCUCCAAGGCUAAAUACUCCUGACUGACCGAUAGUGAACCAGUACCGUGAGGGAAAGGCGAAAAGAACCCCGGCGAGGGGAGUGAAAAAGAACCUGAAACCGUGUACGUACAAGCAGUGGGAGCACGCUUAGGCGUGUGACUGCGUACCUUUUGUAUAAUGGGUCAGCGACUUAUAUUCUGUAGCAAGGUUAACCGAAUAGGGGAGCCGAAGGGAAACCGAGUCUUAACUGGGCGUUAAGUUGCAGGGUAUAGACCCGAAACCCGGUGAUCUAGCCAUGGGCAGGUUGAAGGUUGGGUAACACUAACUGGAGGACCGAACCGACUAAUGUUGAAAAAUUAGCGGAUGACUUGUGGCUGGGGGUGAAAGGCCAAUCAAACCGGGAGAUAGCUGGUUCUCCCCGAAAGCUAUUUAGGUAGCGCCUCGUGAAUUCAUCUCCGGGGGUAGAGCACUGUUUCGGCAAGGGGGUCAUCCCGACUUACCAACCCGAUGCAAACUGCGAAUACCGGAGAAUGUUAUCACGGGAGACACACGGCGGGUGCUAACGUCCGUCGUGAAGAGGGAAACAACCCAGACCGCCAGCUAAGGUCCCAAAGUCAUGGUUAAGUGGGAAACGAUGUGGGAAGGCCCAGACAGCCAGGAUGUUGGCUUAGAAGCAGCCAUCAUUUAAAGAAAGCGUAAUAGCUCACUGGUCGAGUCGGCCUGCGCGGAAGAUGUAACGGGGCUAAACCAUGCACCGAAGCUGCGGCAGCGACACUAUGUGUUGUUGGGUAGGGGAGCGUUCUGUAAGCCUGUGAAGGUGUGCUGUGAGGCAUGCUGGAGGUAUCAGAAGUGCGAAUGCUGACAUAAGUAACGAUAAAGCGGGUGAAAAGCCCGCUCGCCGGAAGACCAAGGGUUCCUGUCCAACGUUAAUCGGGGCAGGGUGAGUCGACCCCUAAGGCGAGGCCGAAAGGCGUAGUCGAUGGGAAACAGGUUAAUAUUCCUGUACUUGGUGUUACUGCGAAGGGGGGACGGAGAAGGCUAUGUUGGCCGGGCGACGGUUGUCCCGGUUUAAGCGUGUAGGCUGGUUUUCCAGGCAAAUCCGGAAAAUCAAGGCUGAGGCGUGAUGACGAGGCACUACGGUGCUGAAGCAACAAAUGCCCUGCUUCCAGGAAAAGCCUCUAAGCAUCAGGUAACAUCAAAUCGUACCCCAAACCGACACAGGUGGUCAGGUAGAGAAUACCAAGGCGCUUGAGAGAACUCGGGUGAAGGAACUAGGCAAAAUGGUGCCGUAACUUCGGGAGAAGGCACGCUGAUAUGUAGGUGAAGUCCCUCGCGGAUGGAGCUGAAAUCAGUCGAAGAUACCAGCUGGCUGCAACUGUUUAUUAAAAACACAGCACUGUGCAAACACGAAAGUGGACGUAUACGGUGUGACGCCUGCCCGGUGCCGGAAGGUUAAUUGAUGGGGUUAGCCGCAAGGCGAAGCUCUUGAUCGAAGCCCCGGUAAACGGCGGCCGUAACUAUAACGGUCCUAAGGUAGCGAAAUUCCUUGUCGGGUAAGUUCCGACCUGCACGAAUGGCGUAAUGAUGGCCAGGCUGUCUCCACCCGAGACUCAGUGAAAUUGAACUCGCUGUGAAGAUGCAGUGUACCCGCGGCAAGACGGAAAGACCCCGUGAACCUUUACUAUAGCUUGACACUGAACAUUGAGCCUUGAUGUGUAGGAUAGGUGGGAGGCUUAGAAGUGUGGACGCCAGUCUGCAUGGAGCCGACCUUGAAAUACCACCCUUUAAUGUUUGAUGUUCUAACGUUGACCCGUAAUCCGGGUUGCGGACAGUGUCUGGUGGGUAGUUUGACUGGGGCGGUCUCCUCCUAAAGAGUAACGGAGGAGCACGAAGGUUGGCUAAUCCUGGUCGGACAUCAGGAGGUUAGUGCAAUGGCAUAAGCCAGCUUGACUGCGAGCGUGACGGCGCGAGCAGGUGCGAAAGCAGGUCAUAGUGAUCCGGUGGUUCUGAAUGGAAGGGCCAUCGCUCAACGGAUAAAAGGUACUCCGGGGAUAACAGGCUGAUACCGCCCAAGAGUUCAUAUCGACGGCGGUGUUUGGCACCUCGAUGUCGGCUCAUCACAUCCUGGGGCUGAAGUAGGUCCCAAGGGUAUGGCUGUUCGCCAUUUAAAGUGGUACGCGAGCUGGGUUUAGAACGUCGUGAGACAGUUCGGUCCCUAUCUGCCGUGGGCGCUGGAGAACUGAGGGGGGCUGCUCCUAGUACGAGAGGACCGGAGUGGACGCAUCACUGGUGUUCGGGUUGUCAUGCCAAUGGCACUGCCCGGUAGCUAAAUGCGGAAGAGAUAAGUGCUGAAAGCAUCUAAGCACGAAACUUGCCCCGAGAUGAGUUCUCCCUGACUCCUUGAGAGUCCUGAAGGAACGUUGAAGACGACGACGUUGAUAGGCCGGGUGUGUAAGCGCAGCGAUGCGUUGAGCUAACCGGUACUAAUGAACCGUGAGGCUUAACCU